CCCAGUUCCGGGGCCGUUCACUGGAUCCGAAGCCUCUAGAAGGAUAAUAUAGGCACUCCAUACCCUACUCCGACUCAAUACGUCCCCGUCGUACAGAAUGGUAACAUAUCUCUCCAAAUAUCUGAGCUUGGGUAUACGGGGAAACCCAACCCCUUGGGAAGAUUGGGUAUAUGGCUAAAUUGAGCGGA
rnacentral:ribozyme from 12 species